GACAGAGGGGGCAAGCGUUGCUCGGAAUUACUGGGCGUAAAGCGCGCGUAGGCGGCUUUGUAAGUCAGAGGUGAAAGCCUGGAGCUCAACUCCAGAACUGCCUUUGAAACUACAUCGCUAGAAUCAUGGAGAGGUUAGUGGAAUUCCGAGUGUAGAGGUGAAAUUCGUAGAUAUUCGGAAGAACACCAGUGGCGAAGGCGACUAACUGGACAUGUAUUGACGCUGAGGUGCGAAAGCGUGGGGAGCAAACAGG
rnacentral:rRNA from 1 species